UCCAGGUGCAGUAGUGCACACCUGUAAUCCCAGCCACUCAGGAGGCAGAGGCAGGAGGAUCACAAGUUUGAGGCCAGCCUUAGAAACACAGCAAGACCCUGUAUCUU
rnacentral:sRNA from 1 species